AUGACAGCAUGGGACCUUAGUCACUUCUACGAACCACAUGUUCUUUGUUACCACCGUGAGCUGGACCACCAGAAUGGGCACGACAAUGUGAGGGUUUUCGUAAGAGGAUGGGUGGCUUUCUUGAGCUGCGAAAAUGAUCUGCUAAUGAUUCGCGUCACCCAACCCCAUAUGGAGGGGUACUGUCAGCAAGAUCAUCAGCCACUAACAUUUGCUUCUUCAUUUCCAAGACUCCUGAAUGAUGUGGUGAUGGUUUCAUGGCCAGAAGUUGGGAGAAGAUUGGCCGCUGUUUCUGGGGAGGUCUCCUACCCAAAUCGCCAUAUUGAUCUUUUAGAUGAAGUUAAUGUGUUUGGAUUUACUAUGGAACUCUCUGAGGUGAAUAUCACAUCGGAGAGUGGAAGUUUAGGGGCACCGUUACUUGACGGCGAGGGCAAUGUGGUUGGAGUACUGCAUGGUGGGAAUGGGCGGUUCUCCUUUUUCAUCUCUCUUGGUGACCUCAGGGAAGUUCUUAAUCAGUGGGGUUUCAUUCUUGCAGUUCCUGCUUAA
rnacentral:rRNA from 1 species